rnacentral:rRNA from 1 species
CAUGUCUUUUUGAUUAUAAUUUAAGGUUUAAUCUGCUCAAUGAGGAUUUAAAUUGCCGCGGUAUUUUGACCGUGCAAAGGUAGCAUAAUAAUUAGUUUCUUUAUUGGAAGCUGGAAUGAAUGAUUGGACGAGAAAAUUACUGUCUCUUUAAGAUUUAUUUUUGAAAUUAACUUUUAAGUCAAAAGGCUUAAAUGAUUUUUAAAGACGAGAAGACCCUAUAGAGUUUCAUAGUUAAUAAAUUUUUAAUUUUUUUGGUUAUUUAUUUAUUGAAGUUUAUAU